GCUGCGAUGGCCGAGUGGUUAAGGCGUCAGACUUGAAAUCUGAUGGGCAAUGCCCGCGCAGGUUCGAACCCUGCUCGCAGCG
rnacentral:tRNA from 1 species